rnacentral:lncRNA from 1 species
CCUUGCUCAUCGAUGCCUUCUGCUAACUUGUCUAUGGUUUGUGAUACCUCCUGUGGUCCUUUUAGUUAAUACCUCCUCCAUCUCAAGUCAUGUGAAUCCAUGAAGAAGAAAAUUUGAUCGGUCUGUCUCAUUUAUACAUGACCCAUGUAGAGUUCUGAUGAUCCUGUCUUCCUCUUCUGGAAGCCCACAGUCAUGCCCUUUGUAUGCAUCUUAGAAUCUUAUCCCAAAAUGGCAUUAAGAUCACUGAUCUGAUAUAUGAAGAACUCAAAAAAAACACCAGAAAAACAAACAAUAAAUGGGCUAAGGUGCUAAACAGACAAUUCUCAGAAGAAGAUAUACAAUCAGUCAAAAAAUAUGUGAAAAAAUGUUCAAUAUCUCUAGUAAUUAGAGAAAUACAAAUCAAAACCACUCUAAGAUUUCAUCACAUGCUAGUCAGAAUGGCAGUUAUCAAUAAUACAAGCAACAAUAAGUGUGGGCGAGGAUGUGGGGGAAAAGGUACACUUAUACCUUGCUGGUGAGGCUGCAAAUUGGUGCAACCAAUCUGGAAAGCAGUAUGGAGAAUUCCUUAGAAAACUGGAAUAGAACCACUAUUUGACCUAGCUAUCCCACUCCUUGGUUUGUACCCAAAAGACUUAAAAACAGCAUACUAUAGUAACCCAGCCACUUCAAUGUUUAUAGCAACACAAUUCACAAUUGCUAAACUAUGGAAGCAACCUAGAUGCCCUUCAAUAGAUGAAUGGAUAAAAAAUUAUGGUACAUAUAUACAAUGGAAUAUUACUCAGCCAUAAAGAAUGGUGAAAUUAUGGCAUUUGCUGGUAAAUGAAUGGAGUUAGAGAAUAUCAUGCUAAGCCAAUCUCAAAAAACCAAAUGCUGAAUGUUCUUUCUGAUAAGCUGAUGCUGACCCAUAAUUAGGGAAGAAUGGAAGAACUAGGCAAAGGGGAGGGAGGAAAGGGGAGAGGGAAUGGGGGUAGGAAAGAUAGUGGAUUGAGAUGAACAUCUUUACCUUAGGUACAUGUAUGACUGCACAUGUGGUACGACUCUACAUCGUGUACAACCAGAGAAACAAAAAGUUGUGCUCCAUUUGUGUACAAUGAAUCAAAAUGCAU